rnacentral:tRNA from 1 species
UGGGGUGUCGCCAAGCGGUAAGGCACAGGACUUUGACUCCUGUAUGCGUAGGUUCGAAUCCUGCCACCCCAGCCA